rnacentral:tRNA from 1 species
GCCGGGGUGGCCGAGUCUGGUCCAAGAGCCCGCGAGGCUCGGCCAAAGGCGACGGAUUGCUAAUCCGUUGCCCUUACGGGCGCCCGGGUUCAAAUCCCGGCCCCGGCGCCA